rnacentral:lncRNA from 1 species
UCUAAACAGAUGGAGUUCAUUAAAUUUAAAUAUUGUCUCUUAAAGCAGUGAUGAAUUAUUGGAGUGGAGAAAUACAAAUAGAAAUAUCUCCUGUUUGAUAAUCUUUUGUCCUAGUCAAACCAUGGGGUUAAUAAAGUCAGGUCUGCAUGCUCUGCUUGCUUUCAGUCACCUGCUUUUGUUGUUGUUGUUGUUUUUCUCUGUAGCUGAGGGUUGCAGUAACUGAAGGCCUUACCACUAAACACUAAAACUUAACCUUUACUGGUGACUUAAUAAGUAACAUUCAUAGGUGACCAUGGUGAUGGUUGCUUCCAUUGUUUUUCAGAAACUUGGCCAGCUCCUGUCUAGUUCAAACUAGUUGAGACCACUGACCCUUCAACUGGGUCUGCAUGGGUGCCUGAGAGGUGGCCUUUUGAUAUCAGAGGGUCAAAAACUCCACCCUCAAGAUCAUGCUAAUGUUGCCAUUUUCUGUACAUAUGUCCUGUGAACUGUUCGUCCACCUCAUCUCUUGGUGACCUAGUGUGUAAAUCUUUUCUCUUUUGCAGAAUCUAUGUCACAGUGAUUGAUUUACUGCAUAUGAGCAGAAUGAACCUGGACCUGGCCAGUAUCAUUAAGCUGUGUUUCCCCUGAAGUUAUGUGAAAAGCAUUUGUGGAUUUAACAGAGUUAAGGGUCUCACUUCAUCACCUAGACUGGAGUACAGUAGCACAGUUGCAGCUUCCUACAUCUUGACUUCCUGGGUUCCAGUGAUCCUCCCCCUUCAGCCUCUCAGCAGAGAGAGAAAGAAAGCAGAGCUCUUUGAAGCAGAGAAAGAAAGCAGAAAGCAGAGAUCUUUGAAGGCUUAAGAAACCAUAAGGAGUUUUGGAGAGUCAAUGCAUGAUGAUCUCUGAAGAUUCUACUGAAAUCUAAUCAAUAUGUCCUCACUGCCAUCAAUUCAAAAGAACUUGCUAAGAAGGCUCUAGAGGCUUGUACUCUCAGAUAGUGAAAGUGAGAUGAUGUGUAGUGAAAGUCAUAUAUAGGUUGUAAAUUGCAAUAUGGAAUUCCCAAAUGCUGAAUUCAUUUUAUCUCUUCGGAAAUAAAAACCUGUUAAAG